GGUCCCGUGGUGUAGGGGUUAACAUGCCUGCCUGUCACGCAGGAGAUCGCCGGUUCCGCCCCGGUCGGGACCGCCA
rnacentral:tRNA from 1 species